rnacentral:rRNA from 1 species
UACGAAGGGGGCUAGCGUUGCUCGGAAUGACUGGGCGUAAAGGGCGCGUAGGCGGUUUGGACAGUCAGAUGUGAAAUUCCUGGGCUCAACCUGGGGGCUGCAUUUGAUACGUUCGGACUAGAGUGGGGAAGAGGGUCGUGGGAAUUCCCAGUGUAGAGGUGAAAUUCGUAGAUAUUGGGAAGAACACCGGUGGCGAAGGCGGCGACCUGGUCCUUGACUGACGCUGAGGCGCGAAAGCGUGGGGAGCAAACAGG